GAUGAACGCUGGCGGCGUGCCUAACACAUGCAAGUCGAGCGAAGCGCUGACGGGUGAGUUACACUUGGCUAACCUCCUAUAAGACUCGGAUAACUUCGGGAAACCGGAGCUAACCCGGAUUCUUAUAGACGGAUCCGCACGGCAUUAGCUAGUUGGUAAGGUAACGGCUUACCAAGGCAACGAUGCAUAGCCGACCUGAGAGGGUGAUCAGCCACACUGGAACUGAGACACGGUCCAGACUCCUACGGGAGGCAGCAGUAGGGAAUCUUCCGCAAUGGGCGAAAGCCUGACGGAGCAACGCCGCGUGAGUGAUGAAGGUCUUAGGAUCGUAAAACUCUGUUAUUAGGGAAGCGGUACCUAAAAAGAAAGCAACGGAUAACUACGUGCCAGCAGCCGCGGUAAUAG
rnacentral:rRNA from 1 species